rnacentral:rRNA from 1 species
UACGGGGGGUGCGAGCGUUGUUCGGAAUUAUUGGGCGUAAAGCGCGUGCAGGCGGUCUUGUAAGUCUGAUGUGAAAGCCCCGGGCUUAACCCGGGAAGUGCACUGGAUACUGCAAGACUUGAGUUCGGGAGAGGAGAGUGGAAUUCCUGGAGUAGGGGUGAAAUCCGUAGAUAUCAGGAAGAACACCGGUGGCGAAGGCGGCUCUCUGGACCGAUACUGACGCUGAGAUGCGAAAGCGUGGGUAGCAAACAGGAUUAGAUACCCUGGUAGUCCACGCAGUAAACGAUGAGUACUAGGUGUUGCGGGUAUUGACCCCUGCAGUGCCGCAGCUAACGCAUUAAGUACUCCGCCUGGGAAGUACGGUCGCAAGACUAAA